CAGUAAAAAUUAGUUUCGACCUAAACAUAGGCCAAAGUCUAUUAU
rnacentral:tRNA from 1 species